rnacentral:rRNA from 1 species
GCAACGAGCGCAACCCCUCGCUAUCUGUUGCCAGCAAGUAAUGUUGGGGACGUCAGAUGGAACUGCCGGUGACAAACCGGAGGAAGGUGGGACGACGUCAAGUCAUCAUGGCCCUUAUGUCCUGGGCUACACACGUGCUACAAUGGUCGCUACAGAGGGUUGCCAAGCCGCGAGGUGGAGCCAAUCCCACAAAGCCGAUCGUAGUCCGGAUUGUUCUCUGCAACUCGAGAGGCAUGAAGUCGGAAUCGCUAGUAAUCGCAGGUCAGCAUACUGCGGUGAAUACGUUCCCGGGUCUU